rnacentral:rRNA from 1 species
GACGAACGCUGGCGGCGUGCCUAACACAUGCAAGUCGAACGGAGUUCCUUCGGGGACUUAGUGGCGAACGGGUGAGUAACGCGUGAGAAACCUGCCUUUCAGUGGGGGACAACAGUGGGAAACUACUGCUAAUACCGCAUAAUGUUAUUUGGGGGCAUCCCCGAAUAACCAAAGAUUUAUUGCUGAAAGAUGGUCUCGCGUCUGAUUAGCUAGUUGGUGAGGUAACGGCUCACCAAGGCGACGAUCAGUAGCCGGUCUGAGAGGAAGAACGGCAACAUUGGGACUGAGAUACGGCCCAGACUCCUACGGGAGGCAGCAGUGGGGAAUAUUGGGCAAUGGGCGAAGCCUGACCCAGCAACGCCGCGUGAUGGAAGAAGGCCUUCGGGUUGUAAACUUCUUUUACCAGGGACGAACAAAUGACGGUACCUGCAGAAAAAGCAACGGCUAACUACGUGCCAGCCGCCGCAGUAACAC